GUUUAUCAAAAACAUGUCCUUUUGAAUUUUAUUUAAGGUCUAACCUGCCCACUGANNNUUUUUAAAUGGCCGCAGUAUUCUAACUGUGCAAAGGUAGCAUAAUCAUUAGUCUUUUAAUUGAAGGCUGGAAUGAAUGGUUGAAUGAAAUAUUAACUGUUUCAUAAAAAUUUUUAAUAGAAUUUUAUUUUUUAGUCAAAAAGCUAAAAUUUAAUUAAAAGACGAGAAGACCCUAUAAAUCUUUNUAUUUUAUUGGGGUGAUAUUAAAAUUUAAUAAACUUUUAAUUUAUAUUAAACAAAAAUUAUUGAAUAAUUGAUCCAUAAAUUAUGAUUAACAAAUUAAGUUACUUUAGGGAUAACAGCGUAAUUUUUUUAGAGAGUUCAUAUUGAUAAAAAAGAUUGCGACCUCNAUGU
rnacentral:rRNA from 1 species